UACGUAGGGUCCGAGCGUUGUCCGGAAUUAUUGGGCGUAAAGAGCUCGUAGGCGGUGUGUCGCGUCGGCCGUGAAAACCUGCAGCUUAACUGUGGGCUUGCGGUCGAUACGGGCAUCACUGGAGUUCGGCAGGGGAGACUGGAAUUCCUGGUGUAGCGGUGAAAUGCGUAGAUAUCGGGAGGAACACCAGUGGCGAAGGCGACUUCUGGCCUGUUCUUGACGCUGGAGGCGCGAAGCUAGGGGAGCAACGGG
rnacentral:rRNA from 1 species